GCCUUCGGGGUGUAAUGGUCAGCACACUCAACUCGCAAUUCGAUUGUUCCGAGGUUCGAAACCCGAUGAGGGCU
rnacentral:tRNA from 1 species